rnacentral:rRNA from 1 species
GCCAGACUCCUACGGGAGGCAGCAGUGGGGGAUAUUGCACAAUGGGGGGAACCCUGAUGCAGCGACGCCGCGUGGGUGAAGAAGUAUUUCGGUAUGUAAAGCCCUAUCGGCAGGGAAGAAAUUGGACGGUACCUGACUAAGAAGCCCUGGCUAACUACGGGCCAGCAGCCGCGGUAAUACGUAGGGGGCAAGCGUUAUCCGGAUUCACUGGGUGUAAAGGGAGCGUAGACGGCAGUGCAAGUCUGAAGUGAAAGGCGGGGGCCCAACCCCCGAACUGCUUUGGAAACUGUGCUGCUGGAGUGCAGGAGAGGCAAGUGGAAUUCCUAGUGUAGCGGUGAAAUGCGUAGAUAUUAGGAGGAACACCAGUGGCGAAGGCGGCUUGCUGGACUGUAACUGACGUUGAGGCUCGAAAGCGUGGGGAGCAAACAGGAUUAGAUACCCUAGUA